NGAUAUUCUCAUAUUCUUUUGUAUACAAUUUUUGAUAAAAUCUCUUAUUUUUUGAUCUUGUAAACCCUCAGAAUAAUUUUUUGGUUGUGCAAACCAAGGGGAAUGAUGACCUUAGGUUGUACCAAGUCUGAAACCAAGUGGAUUUAUUUUUUGUCUCAUACUCUCCCAAUGCUAGACGUGCUCUAGGUUUUUUUAACGAAUAUAUCUAUCCAUAUUCAUCAUGUAAAGAUAUAUCUUUCACUCCAAUAGUUAUAUGACAGGUAGGUCUUUUUAUCG
rnacentral:lncRNA from 1 species